rnacentral:rRNA from 1 species
AAACUGAAGAGUUUGAUCCUGGCUCAGAUUGAACGCUGGCGGAAUGCUUUACACAUGCAAGUCGAACGGCAGCACGGAGAGCUUGCUCUCUGGUGGCGAGUGGCGAACGGGUGAGUAAUAUAUCGGAACGUGUCCAAUAAUGGGGGAUAACGAGUCGAAAGAUUCGCUAAUACCGCAUACGCCCUACGGGGGAAAGCAGGGGAUCGUAAGACCUUGCGUUAAUGGAGCGGCCGAUAUCUGAUUAGCUUGUUGGUGAGGUAAAGGCUCACCAAGGCGACGAUCAGUAGCUGGUUUGAGAGAACGACCAGCCACACUGGAACUGAGACACGGUCCAGACUCCUACGGGAGGCAGCAGUGGGGAAUUUUGGACAAUGGGGGCAACCCUGAUCCAGCCAUUCCGCGUGAGUGAAGAAGGCCUUCGGGUUGUAAAGCUCUUUCGCAAGGGAAGAAAACUUAUGAUCGAAUAAAUCAUGAGGUUGACGGUACCUUGAUAAGAAGCACCGGCUAACUACGUGCCAGCAGCCGCGGUAAUACGUAGGGUGCGAGCGUUAAUCGGAAUUACUGGGCGUAAAGCGUGCGCAGGCGGUUUUGUAAGUCGGAUGUGAAAUCCCCGGGCUCAACCUGGGAACUGCGUUCGAAACUGCAAGGCUAGAGUGUGUCAGAGGGGGGUAGAAUUCCACGUGUAGCAGUGAAAUGCGUAGAGAUGUGGAGGAAUACCAAUGGCGAAGGCAGCCCCCUGGGAUAACACUGACGCUCAUGCACGAAAGCGUGGGGAGCAAACAGGAUUAGAUACCCUGGUAGUCCACGCCCUAAACGAUGCUGACUAGUUGUUCGGGAAUUUAUUCCUGAGUAACGUAGCUAACGCGUGAAGUCAGCCGCCUGGGGAGUACGGUCGCAAGAUUAAAACUCAAAGGAAUUGACGGGGACCCGCACAAGCGGUGGAUGAUGUGGAUUAAUUCGAUGCAACGCGAAAAACCUUACCUACCCUUGACAUGGCAGGAACUUUCCAGAGAUGGAUUGGUGCUCGAAAGAGAACCUGCACACAGGUGCUGCAUGGCUGUCGUCAGCUCGUGUCGUGAGAUGUUGGGUUAAGUCCCGCAACGAGCGCAACCCUUGCCAUUAGUUGCUACAUUCAGUUGAGCACUCUAAUGGGACUGCCGGUGACAAACCGGAGGAAGGUGGGGAUGACGUCAAGUCCUCAUGGCCCUUAUGGGUAGGGCUUCACACGUCAUACAAUGGUACAUACAGAGGGC